UGUUACAAUGGGUGAUACAGAGGGCCGGCCGCUGGCAACAUCGGUCCAAUCCUUAAAGUCAUCCUCAGUUCGGACUGGGGUCUGCAACCCGACCCCACGAAGCUGGAUUCGCUAGUAAUCGCGCAUCAGCCAUGGCGCGGUGAAUACGUUCCCGGGCCUUGUACACACCGCCCGUCAAGCCAUGAAAGCCGGGAGCGCCUGAAGUCCGUGACCGCGAGGGUCGGCCUAGGGUGAAACCGGUGAUUGGGGCUAAGUCGUAACAAGGUAAC
rnacentral:rRNA from 1 species